UUUUAGUUUUCAGAAAAAAAAAUCACCCCCUUUUCUCUCUCAAAGCUCCGGCCAGGUUCCGGCCAUGUACUCCGGCGCACCUCCGCCGUAGCUCCGCUACAGGCAGUGGCUGGAGGUGCAAAAUUGAGCCUUUCGGGUCUCUUUUUGAACCUGGUGGCCUCUAGAGAAUGGAUUCGAGUCGAAUCACGGGAAAUGUGAGCCUAAAUUCGAAAAAACGAGGAGAAACCGUUCGGUCUCUCCUCCUCCGGCGCGGCGCGGGUCCUGGUAGAGCAGGUGGCGGCAGAAGGCGUCAGAGGCGAUGGGACAAGGGCGGUGGCAAGUGGGGUGCCAGAAGGCCACUAGGUGCGGCCGCAGCAGACUAGGGCUAGGUUUUUUUUAUCUUUUUCUGAUUUGAUGCUUUGGGCCAUUAGGGCGUGGGUAGUUGGGCUGGUAUUUGUUGGGCUUAGAUUAUUGGGUUUGGGCCCCGGGUAAAUUUGGGCUGUACACAUAAGUGAGACCUAUUGGAGAGUAAAAACAUAAGCAGAAUUUCCAUCUACUUUUUAAGAGAUCUAGAGCUCUCUCUAAACGAGUCUUAAAUGUUUUAAUCUCCCUUGAUUAUCAGUUACCAUAGGUUGUUCUAGGAAUAGUUAUGAAGGGAAGACAAUCACUUCCAACGUUCUCGUUAAUUGCCCAAUGACUACAUCCUGUUCUUGUGUUUUCAACAAUUUGGCAUCAAACCCACUCACAAUGAGUGAUAAAAUCCAAACUUACGUAGAUUGUGGUGGUGAUGAAAUUUGUUGAUCUGCAAAAUCAGAUGGACAAACAAUUUCAACAAAUGCAAGAUCAGAUGAAAGUCCUAUUUUCUUAUCGAAGCAAAUCGACAAAUGGGGAGGAGAACCCAACUAGAUUAAGCGCCACUGCCACCACCACCGGGUGGGGCUACUUCGACAGCUGGAGGAUCUGUUCCUCAGUUUGCAAAAAGGUUAUGUUAUAAUUGCGAUUAGCCUUAUUCGGCCACUCAUUAGCGCAAAAAGCUACUUUGGUUAGAAUUGGUGAUACAGUGGAGGAGAAUAUUGAAGAAUUAGGAGAACUUGAAAUCUCCUUGCAUGGUAAGACUAUGCAGUUACAAGCCGUAAUGAAUGGACAAACGUUGUUGAGCUUGAUAGAUUCGGGUAGUACACACAACUUCAUUAGUGUUACAGCUGCUCAGCACCUUGCAAUUCCGGUAACACCUAGUGUGUCAAUUGCCAAUGGUGAGAAGGUAAAAAGUAGAGGGAUUUGUUCUCGGUUACUUUUUUAUAUUGCUACCCAUGAAUUUUUUACAGGCUUUUAUAUUAUUCCUCUGAUUGGGUCUGAUAUCGUGUUGGGUAUUAAAUGGCUUCAAACAUUUGGACUUUGGUGCACUAACAAUGAACUUUGCAGUGAAAAGAAGAUAGGCGAGCCCGCGACUUGUUUAUAAACUAACUUCGGUGCCUUCCUUAAGCUUCUUUCAUCUCUAUUUAUAGGAGUAUUGUUGAACUCUGUUUAAUUUUUUUUGAAUCCCGCACAAAUUUUUUUUUGAUAAGAAUGAUGUCUCAUCAUUGAUUUGUCAUGACAUGGUUGCUUUAACGUUUUUUUUUUUGUCUGAAGCUGGAUGUUGAUUUCUCAAUUUGUUUUCUUUUUUUGUAACUCGGAUAUUGUUUUCCCAAGUUGCUUCCUUUUUUGCCUAGAAAUGGAUGUUGCUUUCUCA